rnacentral:rRNA from 1 species
CACCGCCGCGGUAAAACCAGCACCUCAAGUGGUCAGGAUGAUUAUUGGGCCUAAAGCAUCCGUAGCCCGUUUUGUAAGUUUUCCGUUAAAUCCAUGCGCUUAACGUAUGGGCUGCCGGGAAUACUGCAUAACUAGGAAGUGGGAGAGGUAGACGGUACUCGGUAGGAAGGGGUAAAAUCCUUUGAUCUAUUGAUGACCACCUGUGGCGAAGGCGGUCUACCAGAACACGUUCGACGGUGAGGGAUGAAAGCUGGGGGAGCAAACCGGAUUACAUACCCGGGUAGUCGAGCUGUAAACUAUGCAAACUCAGUGAUGCAUUGGCUUAUGGCCAAUGCAGUGCUGCAGGGAAGCCGUUAAGUUUGCCGCCUGGGAAGUACGUACGCAAGUAUGAAACUUAAAGGAAUUGGCGGGGGAGCACCU